rnacentral:sRNA from 1 species
UUUUGUUCAUUUUUUU